rnacentral:rRNA from 1 species
UACGUAGGUGGCGAGCGUUAUCCGGAUUUACUGGGUGUAAAGGGCGUGUAGGCGGGUGUUCAAGUCGGAUGUGAAAAGGCAAGGCUCAACUUUGCUGUGUCAUCCGAAACUGGAUAUCUUGAGUGUCUGAGGGGAAAGCGGAAUUCCUGGUGGAGCGGUAAAAUGCGUAGAGAUCAGGAGGAACACCGGCGGCGAAGGCGGCUUUCUGGCAGACAACUGACGCUGAGGCGCGAAAGCGUGGGGAGCAAACAGGAUUAGAUACCCCGGUAGU